UCAUCUCGUCGCAACUGGCGUUGAGGUGGGUCACCACCGGGGAGCGACCAAUCGGCAAUCGACCGUUCGCCUGGGUCGAGGCC
rnacentral:ncRNA from 2 species